AUACGGAGGGUGCAAACGUUGUUCGGAAUUACUGGGCGUAAAGCGCGCGUAGGCGGUUUGUUAAGUCAGAUGUGAAAGCCCAAGGCUCAACCUUGGACGUGCAUUUGAAACUGGCAGACUUGAGUACUGGAGGGGAUGGUGGAAUUCCCGGUGUAGAGGUGAAAUUCGUAGAUAUCGGGAGGAAUACCGGUGGCGAAGGCGACCAUCUGGCCAGAUACUGACGCUGAGGUGCGAAAGCAUGGGGAGCAAACGGGAUUAGAAACCCUUGUAGUCC
rnacentral:rRNA from 1 species